GGAGUUAGCCGGUGCUUCUUCUGUGAGUGAUGUCCUUCCUGCCGGCUAUUAACCCGCAGGCCUUCUUCCUCACUGAAAGUGCUUUACAACCCGAAGGCCUUCUUCACACACGCGGCAUGGCUGGAUCAGGGUUGCCCCCAUUGUCCAAUAUUCCCCACUGCUGCCUCCCGUAGGAGUCUGGGCCGUGUCUCAGUCCCAGUGUGGCUGAUCAUCCUCUCAGACCAGCUACGGAUCGUCGCCUUGGUGAGCCGUUACCUCACCAACCAGCUAAUCCGACAUAGGCUCAUCCGAUAGCGCGAGGCCCGAAGGUCCCCCGCUUUCCCCCGUAGGGCGUAUGCGGUAUUAGCCUGGGUUUCCCCAGGUUAUCCCCCACUACCGGGCAGAUUCCUAUGCAUUACUCACCCGUCCGCCGCUCGCCACCAGGGAGCAAGCUCCCCGUGCUGCCGCUCGACUUGCAUGUGUUAGGCCUGCCGCCAGCGUUCAAUCUGAGCCAUGAUCAAAACUCUGA
rnacentral:rRNA from 1 species